rnacentral:rRNA from 1 species
GACGAACGCUGGCGGCGUGCCUAAUACAUGCAAGUCGAGCGGAUCUCGAGGAGCUUGCUCCUUGAGAUUAGCGGCGGACGGGUGAGUAACACGUGGGCAACCUGCCUGUAAGACUGGGAUAACACCGGGAAACCGGUGCUAAUACCGGAUAAUUCUUUCCCUCACAUGAGGGGAAGCUGAAAGUCGGUUUCGGCUGACACUUACAGAUGGGCCCGCGGCGCAUUAGCUAGUUGGUGAGGUAACGGCUCACCAAGGCAACGAUGCGUAGCCGACCUGGGAGGGUGGUCGGCCACACUGGGACUGGGACACGGCCCAGACUCCUACGGGAGGCAGCAGUAGGGAAUCUUCCGCAAUGGACGAAAGUCUGACGGAGCAACGCCGCGUGAGUGAUGAAGGCCUUCGGGUCGUAAAACUCUGUUGUUAGGGAAGAACAAGUAUCGGAGUAACUGCCGGUACCUUGACGGUACCUAACCAGAAAGCCACGGCUAACUACGUGCCAGCCGCCGCCGUAACAC